AAAUAAACCGGAAAGCAACAGAAGAGUGUUUCUAGGUUUAAUGUGAGGUGGCUACAGAAAGGACGUAGUAGCCUGAAGUUUGGCAUUCACCAAGAAAGAACUAAGUCUUCCGAGUACUGGGACUGACCUCAGCCCUAUAGGAUGAUGCGGCCCACUGUCAGGGUGGGUGUUAUCUUCUCAUUUAAACGUCUCUGGAUAUACCUUUGCAGGCACAUCUCUUAGAUUGAUGCCUGCCCAAUUGUCAUCAGAGAGGCUUCAUCCAGCAGCUGAUGGAAGUAGAUGCAGAGAACCACAGUCGAACAUUAGUUGGAGCUCAGAAAAUCCUGUGGAAGAAAGGAAAGAAAGAUGCAGAGGAGUCAAGGACACGACAAGAAAACCCACGGAAUCAACUAACCUGGGCUCCUAGAGCCUCACAAAGACUGAAUUGACAAUCAUGGAACUAACCUAGGCCCUUUGCAUAUAUGUUACAGUUGUGUAGUUGGCCUUCUUAUGGGAUUCCUAACAGUGGAAGUGGAAGCUGUCUCUGUCUCUGUUGCCUACUUUUGGGACCCCUUUCCUCCUACUGGGUUACCUCCUCCAGACUCAAUAUGAGGGGAGAUGUCUAGUCUUGUUGCAACUUGAUAUGCCAUGUUUGGUUGAUAUCCCUGGGAAUCCUGUCCUUUUCUGAAGGGAAAGGAGAAGGAGUGGUUGUGGGUAGGGUGGAGAGAACUGGGAGGGGAUGGGAGAGAGGAACACGGUCAGGAUGUAAUAUUUGAGAGAAGAACAAAUUUAAAAAUUAAUUUAAAAAUUCUACUAUGAGUUGGGGUGAAGCUCACAAGCCUCAACCUCUAGCUGAGGGCCUAUUGUAAUGUUCUGAGCUUCUUUAUAUGGUUCUAUACCUGAAAACUCAUGCAGAAAAUGUCAUACAUGCUCCAGAAAGCCUCAGAAAGUGUCAUUGUCCCAAGCUGGUUAUGGCUAUAGGUUAGCAAGAAGUUCCUUUUUACAAAGACAAGAUGUAUCAAUAUUGGAAGACAAUUUAAAAAUAUAUAAUUCUGGACUUGUACAAACCAGUAAUUAGUAACCGUGAAGUGUCAUGUGUAGAAUUCCACCUUUAAAUGGGUUACAUAGCCUUUAAAAGAAUUUGUUUCUAAAUUUUUCUUUUGAUAGGCAGAACGUUUUUCUUCCUAAGUGACACAUCUUUAUUUGUUGAGAUUAUUCCACAAUCACUCAUUUUUAUAAACAUAAGAAAGAACUCUGGUAUUUUUGGAAGGUACAUAGGAAGAGUCAAAUGAGUAAUUAAAGAAAUAUGGAGGUCCUAAAUUACUUUAUACUUGAAUAAAUUAAUAAAUUGUUUUACUUAAAGGACUGAGACAUUUAAUGAUAAAAAUACUGAGAAGCCAAGGACAAUGGCACUGGGUUUUGAUCCUACUGCAUGCACUGGCUUUGAGGGAGCCUAGUCUGUUUAGGUGCG